AUUGAACGCUGGCGGCAGGCCUAACACAUGCAAGUCGAGCGGAUGAAGGGAGCUUGCUCCUGGAUUCAGCGGCGGACGGGUGAGUAAUGCCUAGGAAUCUGCCUGGUCGUGGGGGAUAACGUCCCGAAACGGGCGCUAAUACCGCAUACGUCCUGAGGGAGAAAGUGGGGGUUCUUCGGACCUCACGCUUUCUGCUGAGCCUAGGUGGGAUUAGCUAGUUGGUGGGGUAAAGGCCUACCAAGGCGACGAUCCGUAACUGGGCUGAGAGGAUGAUCAGUCACACUGGAACUGAGACACGGUCCAGACUCCUACGGGAGGCAGCAGUAGGGAAUAUUGGGCAAAGGGCGAAAGCCUGAUCCAGCCAUGCCGCGUGUGUGAAGAAGGUCUUCGGAUUGUAAAGCACUUUAAGUUGGGAGGAAGGGCAGUAAGUUAAUACCUGGCUGUUUUGACGGUACCAACAGAAUAAGCACCGGCUAACUACGUG
rnacentral:rRNA from 1 species